rnacentral:rRNA from 1 species
UUAAGCGACUAAGCGUACACGGUGGAUGCCCUGGCAGUCAGAGGCGAUGAAGGACGUGCUAAUCUGCGAUAAGCGUCGGUAAGGUGAUAUGAACCGUUAUAACCGGCGAUUUCCGAAUGGGGAAACCCAGUGUGAUUCGUCACACUAUCAUUAACUGAAUCCAUAGGUUAAUGAGGCGAACCGGGGGAACUGAAACAUCUAAGUACCCCGAGGAAAAGAAAUCAACCGAGAUUCCCCCAGUAGCGGCGAGCGAACGGGGAGCAGCCCAGAGCCUGAAUCAGUGUGUGUGUUAGUGGAAGCGUCUGGAAAGGCGCGCGAUACAGGGUGACAGCCCCGUACACAAAAAUGCACAUGCUGUGAGCUCGAUGAGUAGGGCGGGACACGUGGUAUCCUGUCUGAAUAUGGGGGGACCAUCCUCCAAGGCUAAAUACUCCUGACUGACCGAUAGUGAACCAGUACCGUGAGGGAAAGGCGAAAAGAACCCCGGCGAGGGGAGUGAAAAAGAACCUGAAACCGUGUACGUACAAGCAGUGGGAGCCUCUUUAUGGGGUGACUGCGUACCUUUUGUAUAAUGGGUCAGCGACUUAUAUUCUGUAGCAAGGUUAACCGAAUAGGGGAGCCGAAGGGAAACCGAGUCUUAACUGGGCGUUAAGUUGCAGGGUAUAGACCCGAAACCCGGUGAUCUAGCCAUGGGCAGGUUGAAGGUUGGGUAACACUAACUGGAGGACCGAACCGACUAAUGUUGAAAAAUUAGCGGAUGACUUGUGGCUGGGGGUGAAAGGCCAAUCAAACCGGGAGAUAGCUGGUUCUCCCCGAAAGCUAUUUAGGUAGCGCCUCGUGAAUUCAUCUCCGGGGGUAGAGCACUGUUUCGGCAAGGGGGUCAUCCCGACUUACCAACCCGAUGCAAACUGCGAAUACCGGAGAAUGUUAUCACGGGAGACACACGGCGGGUGCUAACGUCCGUCGUGAAGAGGGAAACAACCCAGACCGCCAGCUAAGGUCCCAAAGUCAUGGUUAAGUGGGAAACGAUGUGGGAAGGCCCAGACAGCCAGGAUGUUGGCUUAGAAGCAGCCAUCAUUUAAAGAAAGCGUAAUAGCUCACUGGUCGAGUCGGCCUGCGCGGAAGAUGUAACGGGGCUAAACCAUGCACCGAAGCUGCGGCAGCGACACUAUGUGUUGUUGGGUAGGGGAGCGUUCUGUAAGCCUGCGAAGGUGUGCUGUGAGGUAUGCUGGAGGCAUCAGAAGUGCGAAUGCUGACAUAAGUAACGAUAAAGCGGGUGAAAAGCCCGCUCGCCGGAAGACCAAGGGUUCCUGUCCAACGUUAAUCGGGGCAGGGUGAGUCGACCCCUAAGGCGAGGCCGAAAGGCGUAGUCGAUGGGAAACAGGUUAAUAUUCCUGUACUUGGUGUUACUGCGAAGGGGGGACGGAGAAGGCUAUGUUGGCCGGGCGACGGUUGUCCCGGUUUAAGCGUGUAGGCUGGUUUUCCAGGCAAAUCCGGAAAAUCAAGGCUGAGGCGUGAUGACGAGGCACUACGGUGCUGAAGCAACAAAUGCCCUGCUUCCAGGAAAAGCCUCUAAGCAUCAGGUAACAUCAAAUCGUACCCCAAACCGACACAGGUGGUCAGGUAGAGAAUACCAAGGCGCUUGAGAGAACUCGGGUGAAGGAACUAGGCAAAAUGGUGCCGUAACUUCGGGAGAAGGCACGCUGAUAUGUAGGUGAAGCGACUUGCUCGUGGAGCUGAAAUCAGUCGAAGAUACCAGCUGGCUGCAACUGUUUAUUAAAAACACAGCACUGUGCAAACACGAAAGUGGACGUAUACGGUGUGACGCCUGCCCGGUGCCGGAAGGUUAAUUGAUGGGGUUAGCGGUAACGCGAAGCUCUUGAUCGAAGCCCCGGUAAACGGCGGCCGUAACUAUAACGGUCCUAAGGUAGCGAAAUUCCUUGUCGGGUAAGUUCCGACCUGCACGAAUGGCGUAAUGAUGGCCAGGCUGUCUCCACCCGAGACUCAGUGAAAUUGAACUCGCUGUGAAGAUGCAGUGUACCCGCGGCAAGACGGAAAGACCCCGUGAACCUUUACUAUAGCUUGACACUGAACAUUGAGCCUUGAUGUGUAGGAUAGGUGGGAGGCUUUGAAGUGUGGACGCCAGUCUGCAUGGAGCCGACCUUGAAAUACCACCCUUUAAUGUUUGAUGUUCUAACGUUGGCCCCUAAUCGGGGUUGCGGACAGUGUCUGGUGGGUAGUUUGACUGGGGCGGUCUCCUCCUAAAGAGUAACGGAGGAGCACGAAGGUUGGCUAAUCCUGGUCGGACAUCAGGAGGUUAGUGCAAUGGCAUAAGCCAGCUUGACUGCGAGCGUGACGGCGCGAGCAGGUGCGAAAGCAGGUCAUAGUGAUCCGGUGGUUCUGAAUGGAAGGGCCAUCGCUCAACGGAUAAAAGGUACUCCGGGGAUAACAGGCUGAUACCGCCCAAGAGUUCAUAUCGACGGCGGUGUUUGGCACCUCGAUGUCGGCUCAUCACAUCCUGGGGCUGAAGUAGGUCCCAAGGGUAUGGCUGUUCGCCAUUUAAAGUGGUACGCGAGCUGGGUUUAGAACGUCGUGAGACAGUUCGGUCCCUAUCUGCCGUGGGCGCUGGAGAACUGAGGGGGGCUGCUCCUAGUACGAGAGGACCGGAGUGGACGCAUCACUGGUGUUCGGGUUGUCAUGCCAAUGGCACUGCCCGGUAGCUAAAUGCGGAAGAGAUAAGUGCUGAAAGCAUCUAAGCACGAAACUUGCCCCGAGAUGAGUUCUCCCUGACUCCUUGAGAGUCCUGAAGGAACGUUGAAGACGACGACGUUGAUAGGCCGGGUGUGUAAGCGCAGCGAUGCGUUGAGCUAACCGGUACUAAUGAACCGUGAGGCUUAACCU